rnacentral:rRNA from 1 species
GACGAACGCUGGCGGCGUGCCUAAUACAUGCAAGUUGAGCGCUGAAGGUUGGUACUUGUACCAACUGGAUGAGCAGCGAACGGGUGAGUAACGCGUGGGGAAUCUGCCUUUGAGCGGGGGACAACAUUUGGAAACGAAUGCUAAUACCGCAUAAAAACUUUAAACACAAGUUUUAAGUUUGAAAGAUGCAAUUGCAUCGCUCAAAGAUGAUCCCGCGUUGUAUUAGCUAGUUGGUGAGGUAAAGGCUCACCAAGGCGAUGAUACAUAGCCGACCUGAGAGGGUGAUCGGCCACAUUGGGACUGAGACACGGCCCAAACUCCUACGGGAGGCAGCAGUAGGGAAUCUUCGGCAAUGGACGAAAGUCUGACCGAGCAACGCCGCGUGAGUGAAGAAGGUUGUCGGAUCGUAAAACUCUGUUGGUAGAGAAGAACGUUGGUGAGAGUGGAAAGCUCAUCAAGUGACGGUAACUACCCAGAAAGGGACGGCUAACUACGUG